GUCCCUAAGCUAAAAAGGUGUGGGCACCUCCGGGUGGUUUAAACCGACACAGUAGUGCUGUAACGGAAUGCGUAUUUUUCCGGAACGAACUGAUACACCGUAUAUCGUCGAAGCGUGACAAGGAGAACCUUGUUAAUGCAGAGCGGGACAAAGUCCAACUUCCGCCGGAACGCAAUUAAGACGGGACCCAAGCGCUGCUAUCUCUUUGUAUCGUCAACGGACGAAAUGGAACGUCGCAGCGGCAGGGAUGUUCGAGCAGCACGUAAGGAGACACCGGGCCCUUGAAGUCAGACAGAAACCUCCUGAGCUGAUAUGAGACCAAACAAAGACAAAGGAUCCUUCACUGCAGCAGCAGCAGAGAAGUAAACAACCCAAGCUGAUCAUGUGACUCGGCUCUGUGCGGUUCCCUCUGCUGCACAUACAUAUGGCGCCGCCUGUUGGCAGAAAGAAGUUUCACCGCACCUUAUUUAAGCGUCUGGUGUGUAUGACUAAAUGUCAACUGCCUAUAAAACAGCACGUGGCACUUUAAGUUUACAUAAUUAUUUCCCCGGACGACAGAAGGCGGAAUAUAUUGUAUUUGUAUAUUAUAUGUAUAUAUAUAUAUGUAUGUAUUAUAUGUUGCACACUUAUUUAGAAUAACACCUUUAUUUGACAAAGGUAAAAUGUGUCGAUAAAAAUGGAUGGGAAACGUCAAAUUAGUCUCCUCUAUUUUCUUUUGUAUGACCAAGUAACUCUCCUUUAAGCGCUUAGUAUACAGUAGGUGGAUGUA